rnacentral:rRNA from 1 species
CCUACGGGGGGCUGCAGUAGGGAAUUUUCGGCAAUGGGGGGAACCCUGACCGAGCAACGCCGCGUGAACGAAGAAGUAUUUCGGUACGUAAAGCUCUAUCAGCAGGGAAGAAAAAAGGACGGUACCUGAGUAAGAAGCCCCGGCUAACUACGUGCCAGCAGCCGCGGUAAUACGUAGGGGGCAAGCGUUAUCCGGAAUUACUGGGUGUAAAGGGAGCGUAGACGGCAAUGCAAGUCCGGAGUGGAAUGCGGCAGCUCAACUGCCGAACUGCUCUGGAAACUGUAUGGCUUGAGUGCAGGAGGGGUAAGCGGAAUUCCUGGUGUAGCGGUGAAAUGCGUAGAUAUCAGGAGGAACACCGGUGGCGAAGGCGGCUUACUGGACUGUAACUGACGUUGAGGCUCGAAAGCGUGGGGAGCAAACAGGAUUAGAUACCCUUGUAGUC